ACAGAUCGUUCAGAGUUUGAUCCUGGCUCAGGACGAACGCUGGCGGCGUGCUUAACACAUGCAAGUCGAACGGAAAGGCCCCGCUUGCGGGGUACUCGAGUGGCGAACGGGUGAGUAACACGUGGGUGAUCUACCCUGCACUUCGGGAUAAGCCUGGGAAACUGGGUCUAAUACCGGAUAGGACCCCUCUUUAGUGUGGGGGGUGGAAAGUUUUUUCGGUGUGGGAUGAGCCCGCGGCCUAUCAGCUUGUUGGUGGGGUAAUGGCCUACCAAGGCGUCGACGGGUAGCCGGCCUGAGAGGGUGGACGGCCACAUUGGGACUGAGAUACGGCCCAG
rnacentral:rRNA from 1 species